rnacentral:rRNA from 1 species
UACAGAGGCCUCGAGCGUUAGGCGGAAUCACUGGGCUUAAAGCGUGUGUAGGCGGACUGGUAAGUACCUUGUGAAAUCCCACAGCUUAACUGUGGAACUGCUCGGUAUACUGCUGGUCUUGAGCCACUCAGGGGCUACCGGAACAAAUGGUGGAGCGGUGAAAUGCGUAGAUAAUCAUUUGGAACGCCAAUGGUGAAAACAGGUAGCUGGGGGUGUGCUGACGCUGGAGACACGAAAGCCAGGGGAGCAAACGGG